rnacentral:rRNA from 1 species
AAUCAACGCUGGCGGCGUGCCUAACACAUGCAAGUCGAACGCGAGAGGGGCUUCGGCCCCGAUUGAGUGGCGAACGGGUGAGUAACACGUGGGUGACCUACCUUCGAGUGGGGGAUAACGUCCCGAAAGGGACGCUAAUACCGCAUAACAUUCCGCUUUUGAACAAGUGGAAAUCAAAAGCCGGGGAUCGUAAAGACCUGGCGCUUGAAGAGGGGCCCGCGUCCGAUUAGCUAGUUGGUGAGGUAACGGCUCACCAAGGCGACGAUCGGUAGCCGGCCUGAGAGGGCGGACGGCCACACUGGGACUGAGACACGGCCCAGACUCUACGGAGGCAGCAGUGGGGAAUUGUUCGCAAUGGGCGCAAAGCCUGACG